rnacentral:rRNA from 1 species
AGUAGCAGCUAUAACACCCUGCAGCCCAAGACUGGUUGCCCACUAAGCAGGUUUGAGCCCGGUCAGUACCUGGAUGGGAGACCUCCUGGGAAAACUAGGUUGCCGCUGGAA